AUGGAUAGAUUUUAAAAGAUUUAAUAGAUAACACACCAUGUGGAUUCUGAUUUCAUUCUUGAUUUAAUUUUUCAGAUAAUUCCGUCAGCUGAAUGUUUCAUGUGACCUCGUGACUUCUGGUCGCUUGUGACAAAAUAAUCCAAUUCAAGCUGUGUCUUCCAAAAUUUUAGGAAAUUCUAUUUGCGAGAAUGCCAAAAUGUUCCAUCGGGAUGUUCGGCCACAUCAUCAACAAUCACAAGCUAUUCAAAUAUCUAUGCAUCACCUAUUUAUGUGCCAGUUCCCGUUUCACCGCCUUCACAAAUCAAUCAACCGGAGCCAGUGGAACGUUUGGACUCAAAAGAAAGAGUUUCUCAGUUGAAAGAUCUAUAGCGGAUGCUGGAACUGCAGAAGAAGAUUCAGGAAUUGGAGAUUAGUAUGCAGGAAGCCAAAGCCAAACAGGCUGUUCCUCCCAGUGGAAUUAAAAGCCAGCAGGUCGUCAUCGACAAAUCAGUAUCUGCAGCUAUUUUUCGCUGGAGCAAGAAGCCGAACUUUGUGUGUUCCUGACCUCAUCUUCUGUCUCUUCUAAAAUUCUGAAUGCAAUUGAUCUUCUGCAAGUCCGAUUGAGAAAUGUGAUCGCCUCAACCGGAGCUCUCGUUGUCAACCGUCGUCGCAUUGGAAAGAUAACCGAAAAUCCGCUCUCCUUGGCCUUACAGCACAGUCGUCGAGGCUCGAUCGUUCGCCAAGAUGAUUCAACGAGAGAUUGAAGCCCUUUAAGCUGUCCAGCACCGCAAUUUUAUUGGACUGCUCGGUCUUUGCAUGGAUAACGAAUCGAGUGAUGGUGAAGCAUCGAUUAGAGUCUCGCUCAUCUUUGAAUUCUCCAACGGAGGGACUCUUUUCGACUGCCUUUUCGGUGUCCAAGCAAAUAACAGCAGAUUAAAAUUAGACGUGAAUCAAAUGAUGCUGAUUGCUACACAAACGAUUCGCUCGCCAUCUCACCGCGAGGCUCUCCAUCUACUGCAUUCCACUCCGCAGAACCCGGCCGGUUCAGUUAUAGUCCACUGCGACGUGAAAUCCACCAAUGUUUUACUGCAACGGGAUGACGAACGAAAAGUCGUACGAGCUGUUUUGGCCGAUUUUGGUUUGGCACGUUUUCAUUCGGAUCUCAACGAAAGUGCGGCUCUGGCCUAGCAGCCGCGGUAGGUAACCACGGCUAUGUCGAUCCUUUGUAUGCAGAGAGUUCAACCUACAGACGGGCCGGCCGGUUUACAUGUCCUUCACGCUUGAAGGUCGCGGGGAAUAUUACGUUAAACUGUCAAUGCGGUGGUGUAGAGAUUGGGUGAGAAUGAAACGUGUUGCAUCAUUAUCAAGCAGACCCAUCCCCUGCAACGUCAACGCAUCAGGCAUCGCAUCAAAGCAUCAGGAAAGUUAUCUAUACAUGAGGAGUAAAACUGUUGGUUGCUGUGAAUUCCAUUAUUACAUUUUUCAUCAUGAACAUUUCAGUGUGCUUUUUA